rnacentral:lncRNA from 1 species
GGGUGCUAUGGGGGGUCUGGAUUUGUGAUUUCAUCUAGUGGGGGGGGGGAACCAGUGCAUAAACCCCUUUCCACUGAAGCAGAUGGUCAGCUUCUAUGCAAUUUACAAUAUUAAAGAAUUGCCUGGGACAUUGAGUUGUUAGAUGACUUGCCCAGGUCAGAGAUGGCCAAUAUAUUUCACAGGUAGGACUUGGACCCGCAUUUCCCCUACUUGUUAUCCAUUAUGACCUGGUGCCUUUCUUUAAGUCACAGCCACACCCAAGAACUCAGUGUUACUUUAGCAGGGUCUCUGACUCCUCUACUCAAGCCAUUCCAUGUGUAGGAUGAAUCUGGGUGACUGUCCUGGUCCUCCUCCUUUAGGGGAUACCUGUUCUACUGUAACCAGGCAUCUGAGAAGUGACUCAGGGAACCAGCAGCAAUUUGGAUCCAACAAACGCACUGAUU